rnacentral:rRNA from 1 species
UCGGGAAUCUUGCACAAUGGGCGAAAGCCUGAUGCAGCAACGCCGUGUGAGCGAGGAAGGUCUUCGGAUCGUAAAGCUCUGUUGUUGGGGACGAAGGGCGAAGGGUUAAUAGCCCCUAGCCUGACGGUACCCUUCGAGGAAGCCCCGGCUAACUACGUGCCAGCAGCCGCGGUAAUACGGAGGGUGCGAGCGUUAAUCGGAAUUACUGGGCGUAAAGCGCGCGCAGGCGGUUUGGUAAGUCGGAUGUGAAAGCCCCGGGCUUAACCUGGGAAUUGCAUUCGAUACUGCUUGACUAGAGUAUGGUAGAGGGAAGUGGAAUUUCCGGUGUAGCGGUGAAAUGCGUAGAUAUCGGAAGGAACACCAGUGGCGAAGGCGACUUCCUGGGCCAAUACUGACGCUGAGGUGCGAAAGCGUGGGGAGCAAACAGGAUUAGAUACCCGCGUAGUCC